rnacentral:misc_RNA from 1 species
GCAAGAUUAUAACUAUAUAAUAAUGGCAUGAGUUGAGCAUGCCAGAGAAGGUAGUUAUUGGAAGAAAGUUUGAUGGUGAGAAAGUGAGAUGCAUUGGGUAGAGAUAAAGAAUUUUGAUCAGAGGAAGAAGAUGAAUUUUGCACUACAAUGUCAGACAUGAUGCUGUUAAGCUAAUACUGCUUUGUUACCAUGUAGAAUGAUA